UACGUAGGGUGCAAGCGUUGUCCGGAAUUAUUGGGCGUAAAGAGCGUGUAGGCGGCCAAACAGGUCCGUUGUGAAAACUGGAGGCUCAACUUCCAGACGUCGACGGAAACCGUGUGGCUAGAGUCCGGAAGAGGAGAGUGGAAUUCCUGGUGUAGCGGUGAAAUGCGCAGAUAUCAGGAAGAACACCAAUGGCGAAGGCAGCUCUCUGGGACGGUACUGACGCUGAGACGCGAAAGCGUGGGGAGCGAACAGG
rnacentral:rRNA from 1 species